rnacentral:lncRNA from 1 species
UGAACAAUGGAAAUUCUCUAUUCAACAUUACAAAACCUGGGGAAUUUUACUUCACAAGUGGAGCAGAAGGACACUGUGAAAAGUCACAGAAACUUCACAUUUCAAUACCAGGAGGAAAUGGAACAACUUAUGAAGAAGAUUCACCUGCUUUUGCUCCAUCUGCAGAUUCACCUGCUUACCCUACUGUUUUUGGCUCAAUUCCUGUCCAAUCUGCUAAUCAAUCAUCUUCUGUGAAAUUGCAUAUCUCUAUUUUUGCUGCUAUUGGAUCAGUGUUUCUCACACUGCUUCUAGGAAGCACCAUUUUUUAGAGAAGUAAUAGU